GGGGGUAUAGCUCAGUGGUAGAGCAUUUGACUGCAGAUCAAGAGGUCCCCAGUCCCCACAACUCUGGGUGCCCCCU